CCAAACCAAUAGUGAAUAAAUUUAAAUUUUCUCUUCUAUCCUUGAUUUUCUGUCUCUCUCUUCGCUUCUUUCUUUCUACUUGGGCGCUGUCUCUCUCGCUAAAAGAAAAAAAGAAGGAGCUCACGGGUGAUGAAAACAGUAACUGGCAUAGAAGAUAGAGAAUGGGCGUGCUCAGUGCUGCGGGUUAGGAGAGCGUCUGUCGAAGAAAAAAGAAGACGACCACAGAGGCUCCGAAUCUGUUUCCGGCGAGUAGCAAAGAAGAAGAAUAAUAAAUUAGAGGUGGCGGUGGCUGUUGGUGCAGCUGCAAGGAGAAAGAAUAGUGGCACGGUGAGUGGUGUUACUACCGAAGGAGUAGCUGGAGCUCCGAGAUCCUGUCGUCGGUGGUGUGGCAGAAGAACAACUUCCCUGGCAAAGCUCAAGGUGUGAAAUUUGCUGGCAAGUUGCUCCGGAUGAAGCUGCGCCUGCUAAAGCGAAAUUGCAGAAGAGGUUAGUCAGAAAAAGCAAGAAGCCCCGAGUGAGGCCAAUCAAGUGGCACCCGCAGUUGAAUUGUUUAGGCAAAUGCAAAAUGGCCAAAUUUUUGGAGUGGUUGAAGGUGGCAAAUUGAGCUUAGAUGAAUGGCACACAAUGAGGACAACUGCAAGGGGAGGUUGAGAGAAUGAUUGCUAAGACAAAUAUGGAGAAACAUAGAGCUGAUUUACUCUCUGUUGAGUAUGAGACC